UGUUAAAAAUUUCAUCCAUUUAUACUAUUAAAAACUGAUAUAGUUGACGGAAUAACCAGACGGUGAUAUGAGACUUGCCACGUAUACCUCAUGCCAACGUAUAGGAACCAAUUUUUUAAAUUAGAAAUGGAUAAAAUUUUUAACA
rfam:Gossypium hirsutum cultivar TM-1 unplaced genomic scaffold scaffold1917.1, whole genome shotgun sequence